AACGUAGGGGACAAGCGUUAUCCGGAUUUACUGGGCGUAAAGCGCCCGUAGGCGGCUUUUUAAGUUGGACGUGAAAGCUCCCGGCUUAACUGGGAGAGGCCGUUCAAAACUGAGAGGCUAGAGUGAGGAAGAGGUUAGCGGAAUACCCAGUGUAGAGGUGAAAUUCGCAGAUAUUGGGUGGAACACCAGUGGCGAAGGCGGCUAACUGGUCCGGUAUUGACGCUGAGGCACGAAAGCGUGGGUAGCAAACAGG
rnacentral:rRNA from 1 species